rnacentral:misc_RNA from 1 species
AGCAGCCGCGGUAAUUCCAGCUCCAAUAGCGUAUAUUAAAGUUGUUGCAGUUAAAAGCUCGUAGUUGAAUUUCGGGAUUGGCGCAUCGGUCGUGCCUCACGGGGUAUGAACUGGUGCAGUCAAUUUCUCACCUUCUGGAGAACCGCGAUGUCCUUAAUUGGAUGCCGCGGGGAACCAGGACCUUUACUUUGAAAAAUUAGAGUGUUUAAAGCAGGCUAUUUUUGCUUGAAUACAUUAGCAUGGAAUAAUAAAAUAGGACGGCAUGGUUCUAUUUUGUUGGUUUCUAGGACCACCGUAAUGAUUAAUAGGGAUAGUUGGGGGCAUUAGUAUUCAAUUGUCAGAGGUGAAAUUCUUGGAUUUAUUGAAGUACUAACUACUGCGAAAGCAUUUGCCAAGGAUGUUUUCAUUAAUCAAGAACGAAAGUUAGGGAUCGAAGACGAUCAGAUACCGUCGUAGUCUUAACCAUAAACUAUAGACCGACUAGGAAUCAGACGAUUGUUAAUUUUUUAAUGUACUUCGU